rnacentral:rRNA from 1 species
GUCCCAGCCGUAAACGUUGGGUGCUAGGUGUGGGGAGGUCUUCAACCCUUUCCGUGCCGCAGCUAACGCAUUAAGCACCCCGCCUGGGGAGUACGGUCGCAAGACUAAAACUCAAAGGAAUUGACGGGGGCCCGCACAAGCGGCGGAGCAUGUGGCUUAAUUCGAUGCAACGCGAAGAACCUUACCUAGGCUUGACAUGCUAGUUAAAGCGGGUGAAAGCCCCGUGUCCUUUUGGGGCUAGCACAGGUGCUGCAUGGCUGUCGU